rnacentral:rRNA from 1 species
AUUGAACGCUGGCGGCAGGCCUAACACAUGCAAGUCGAGCGGUAGAGAGAAGCUUGCUUCUCUUGAGAGCGGCGGACGGGUGAGUAAUGCCUAGGAAUCUGCCUGGUAGUGGGGGAUAACGUUCGGAAACGGACGCUAAUACCGCAUACGUCCUACGGGAGAAAGCAGGGGACCUUCGGGCCUUGCGCUAUCAGAUGAGCCUAGGUCGGAUUAGCUAGUUGGUGAGGUAAUGGCUCACCAAGGCGACGAUCCGUAACUGGUCUGAGAGGAUGAUCAGUCACACUGGAACUGAGACACGGUCCCGACUCCUGCGGGGGGCAGCAGUGGGGAAUAUUGGACAAUGGGCGAAAGCCUGAUCCAGCCAUGCCGCGUGUGUGAAGAAGGUCUUUGGAUUGUAAAGCACUUUAAGUUGGGAGGAAGGGUUGUAGAUUAAUACUCUGCAAUUUUGACGUUACCGACAGAAUAAGCACCGGCUAACUCUGUGCCAGCCGCCGCCGUAA